GACGAACGCUGGCGGCGUGCUUAACACAUGCAAGUCGAGCGACGCCCUUCCUUCGGGGAGAUGACGGAGCGGCGAACGGGUGAGUAACACGUGGGCAACCUGCCCCUAGCUCUGGGACAACACCGGGAAACCGGUGCUAAUACCGGAUACGACAUCGAGCGGCAUCUCUCGAUGUGGAAAGUUUUUUCGGCUAGGGAUGGGCCCGCGGCCUAUCAGCUUGUUGGUGGGGUAAUGGCCCACCAAGGCGACGACGGGUAGCCGGCCUGAGAGGGCGACCGGCCACACUGGGACUGAGACACGGCCCAGACUCCUACGGGAGGCAGCAGUGGGGAAUAUUGCGCAAUGGGCGAAAGCCUGACGCAGCGACGCCGCGUGAGGGAUGACGGCCUUCGGGUUGUAAACCUCUUUCAGCAGGGACGAAUUCAGACGGUACCUGCAGAAGAAGCACCGGCCAACUACGUG
rnacentral:rRNA from 1 species